rnacentral:lncRNA from 1 species
CUUUACACGGAAAUGCUUCAGGAGCAUCACACUAAGGAGGUUUGGGACACGCUGUUGCCAUGGCAGCAAGAUCAAGAAAUGGAGAUGCUAGAGGAGCUCGUAGAGGAAGCUUUGUUGGCCCUCGACAUGCUAAAGAUGGCUGAACUUCCAGGAGCCUUCAGGAUAUACAGGUUUCCUGGGCUGGAGAACCCGUCCUGGUCGGCCGUUUCCUUCCUGAUCGACUUACAUGAGUUUCGUCAAAGAGAACGUCACACAUUGACCGCCCUGAGCCAGAAGUAAUACUCAUGUUUUCCUCUCGCUGCACUGAUUAUUUAAGAUGCAGUUAUUCACUAUGAAGAAAUAUGUAACAUUAUCAUUAUAUCUGAACUGAUUGAUUAUUGUGUCUGAUUCCAGGCUUCAUAAAGACAGUCUGAAACUCUUGGGUCUGAACAUCUGGUUGGCCACUCUCAGAGCUCAGAGAGAGAGAAACUCUUUCAGGGCCUUCAUGUCUGCUCAGCAAUCCUGGGAAACCUGGCCAAAUGUCAACAAUCCUUGCAAAGCAGAGCGAGUUGCUUUGUUGCUUUACAGCAGCAAAGCUGAAGAGAAACGAGACCUGAGUGAAACACUGCAGCAGUCGACGGUGCUGGAGCUACUGGUGCUGACUCAGCAGCAGGAGAUGAACCAGUUGGUGGAAUUGGUGCUCAACGUCUCCCAGGGAGCUUCACAGGAUGCAGACGAUGAGAGUGAUGAACAAAGAACUUUGAGGAGCGGUUGUUUAAGAACUCUGGAACAAAAUCAUGCUCAGCAGCAGCAGGAGUUUCUGCAAACAAAUCCUCCAGCAGGAAGUGAACCCCAACAGCAGGUCAAACGCUGUGCACGGCACCUCAUAUCCAACCUGAUGGACCGUCACGAGGUCCAGGCUUCAGAUUUACUGCAAGCACUGGCAGACACAGAUGGAAGGUGUGUCCGCUCCUUAAGGGAUAGGUACGUGUCUGAAAUUCAAGCGCAGAACUUUACAAACCUGCAGCAACUCCUGCUCUCAGACACAAACUCUUCAAAAAACAGCGACGAACAGACUGGUGCUCAUUUAUCUCACAAAAGACAAGAUACCGACGAGUCUCAAAGUAUCAGAGGGGAAACAACUGAAGCUCAGAGGGCCAAGUGUAAACUGGAUGAAGUGACUCAAAGAAAGGACAUCUGUUCAGGUUGUGGAGCUGUCAUGGAGGAUCUGCCCUAUUUGGAGACCGGGUUUGAGUCCAGAGAAGGAGAGGACGACCCGACAAAGAUCUCCAACUACGACAAACAGGAGUCUCUCAUCGCGCUUGCUUGGAGCAAACCACCGGCUGAAGACUUUGUCAAUGACGAAGAGGUGCAGAUGGCCACGGACAAGAGAGCAGAUGUUCAAAGUCAAGCAAAGACCCAAAUCCAGCCCACGCAGACGGGUCCAGGGACAAGCAGGGACCAGGUGGAUGUCUCUCUGGUACCUCGACAACAGCUGAUCAAAGAGGACCAACAACAUCAAUGGGAAGCUUCUCCUGAACGUGACUUCCAAACAGAGAGCCUGCGUAGGAUUCAUCCUCAUCUUUUGGCCGAAAUCCCUGAAUCAGAUCCAAACGUGGACAGUCUUUGUCGUGGGAAAGCCGUAAAUGUUGUCAGAGAAGUGUGCAUGGAAGAAGUGUUGCCCAGUGAGGCAGAGUCUGAGCUAUGGGAUCUCAAAGAGCCUCGAGUCACGCAGACGGUGGAUCGCAGCGUUUGGGAGACAGAGACAUUAAGAGAAAGCUCUUUAACGCAGAGGGAGCGUGUUAGAGAGUCAGUGUCUGCGGUGGAGAGAGAGACAACCAUGAGAAGCCUGGUGGACAUGCAGAGAAGGUUUGAGCAGAAGCAGCAGAGGGACAGAGACAGACAGCUGCUGAGGGUCCAGGAGCGACUGUCUAUCAUCCAAAACAAAAAGGCGGAGAAAGACCUGCUUGGUCUGAAGCACACGGACAGGCUGAAGCACCUCACACAUGAUCUGCCAAUGGAAGACCGGAAUCAGCAGAAGAGCAUCGUCAGAGAGCGGCUGGAGAAGCUGAGGAGAGAGCGCUCCACCAUCAUGCAGUCCAAGAGAGACCGAAACACAACUGGCUUUAAGGAACUCCUGAGUCCUGCUGUCCUUCAAAGCAGUGAGACGGAGGACGGAGCCGAUUGGGACACACCUGUGUAGAUCCAUGUUGGACGUCCUUUUGAUUGUUCCUGGUCAAACUCUCAACAUUUUCAUCAAACUAUUUCAUUUUGUUUAUUUAGUUGUAAAAUGUGAGUGACUGCCCUCUAUGGGCUGAAAACAGGCUAUUGCAAUUGAAUUUUGCUAUUGGCUGGUAAUAGUGCGUAUUGAUUAGCUAUUUAGCAUAGCAUAGAUUGUUCUUUGGAGAUUUUAUAGUAUAAACUGGGCGUGUCUUAAAUGCUCUAGGAGCCCCGCCCAUAAUCAAGGUUUUUUUUUUAAAUUCCCCCCCUACUGGCACGUCAGAAAAAAACAAACACGUUUUUCUAACAAAAACAAAUGUAUUUGGUCGUAUAAAAUAGUGUUAAUUGAUUCUUGUCUAAGAUGUUUUUUUUAAUAUUGCCAAGAAGGAAGUUUUCACCAGCGUUUGUCCAUCAUUUAUGAGACGUCCUUAUUUUUCUUCCGUUUUCAGCUUCCAGUGUUUCAGGAACUUCACCACAUAGGAAACUGGUAUAUUUGGUCAAAUAAUUCAGCUCCACCUACUCUCUCAGAAUAUACAAACAUAUCUGCUAUACAUCCUUUCUAGUGGACAUGCCAGCCCAUCAAAAUUGUAAAAAAAAAAAAUAAUUCAAAAUUUGGGUCUGGAACAUGUUUGGACUUUCAAUAAACAACUUAGUAUAUGC